GUUAGACCGACAGAGUUAUGACAUCACUGUCAGUGGUGUGGGUGAGGUAACAGGUUCUACAGGGCCCGAUACUGUGACCGUUAACUUUCCUGAGCUCCCUGGUUGGAAGGGGAGUUCUUCUGAGCUGGAAGUGGUAUUCGCGAUAAAGAAAGAUCCAUGAUCACUUACUUAUUUACUUCCCCUAACGUUUAUUUUGGACCGACCAAAACCACCCUGUCCCUCUAUCCUAAUGCUCUGCUGAUGCUCUAUGCAAAUACCUUUGACCUUUAUUUUAUGUAACAUUAUGAACAGCUGCAAAGAUCUUGAAAUCAUUAAUUCAUCGAUUUCUUCGCUCUUCUCUCUGCCUUUGUGAGCGUGUAACAAUCUCACAAUAGCUCACAAUGGUGCAUGUCACUUUUGCAGUGUCACAGUAGAGUGGAAUUUAUUAACACAAUGCAGCCUAUACGUCAAUGCAGCAAUGCCUUUGUUUCUUGCUCAUUAAGUUUAAUCCAAAGAAGACUUAUCAGUUGAAGACAUAAGUUGUUCUUUAAAUACAUUUUCUUGUCAUGUAAGGGUAGGUGCAAAGUAAUGCACAUUAUAUAUCACAGUUUUAUCAGUGCCGAUGUUGGAGUAUAUUUCACCUUGAGGCUUUAUGAAUAAACAAAUGAAUGCAUUAAUUAA